rnacentral:rRNA from 1 species
CCUACGGGCGGCUGCAGUGGGGAAUAUUGGACAAUGGGCGAAAGCCUGAUCCAGCAAUGCCGCGUGAGUGAUGAAGGCCUUAGGGUUGUAAAGCUCUUUUACCAGGGAUGAUAAUGACAGUACCUGGAGAAUAAGCUCCGGCUAACUCCGUGCCAGCAGCCGCGGUAAUACGGAGGGAGGUAGCGUGGUGCGGAAUUACUGGGCGUAAAGCGCACGUAGGCGGUUUUUCAAGUCAGGGGUGAAAGCCCGGAGCUCACCUCCGGACUUGCCCUUGAAACUGGAUGACUAGAUUCUUGGAGAGGUCAGUGGAAUUCCGGGUGUAGAGGUGAACUUCGUCGAUAUUCGGAAGAACACCAGUGGCGAAGGCGACUGACUGGACAAGUAUUGACGCUGAGGUGCGAAAGCGUGGGGAGCAAACAGGAUUAGAUACCCCUGUAGUC